CGGCGAACGGGUGAGUAACACGUGGGCAACCUGCCCUCAGCUCUGGGAUAACUCCGGGAAACCGGGGCUAAUACUGGAUACUACUGCACAUCGCAUGGUGUGUGGUGGAAAGGGUUUACUGGUUUUGGAUGGGCUCACGGCCUAUCAGCUUGUUGGUGGGGUAAUGGCUCACCAAGGCGACGACGGGUAGCCGGCCUGAGAGGGUGACCGGCCACACUGGGACUGAGACACGGCCCAGACUCCUACGGGAGGCAGCAGUGGGGAAUAUUGCACAAUGGGCGGAAGCCUGAUGCAGCGACGCCGCGUGAGGGAUGACGGCCUUCGGGUUGUAAACCUCUUUCAGUAGGGAAGAAGCGAGAGUGACGGUACCUGCAGAAGAAGCGCCGGCUAACUACGUGCCAGCAGCCGCGGUAAUACGUAGGGCGCAAGCGUUGUCCGGAAUUAUUGGGCGUAAAGAGCUCGUAGGCGGUUUGUCGCGUCUGCUGUGAAAGCCCGGGGCUCAACCCCGGGUCUGCAGUGGGUAC
rnacentral:rRNA from 1 species